rnacentral:rRNA from 1 species
AUUGAACGCUGGCGGCAUGCCUAACACAUGCAAGUCGAGCGGACGAACGGAGCUUUUGCCUGGUUUCAGCGGCGGGCGGGCGUGUGAUGCCCAGGAAUCUGCCUGGCAGUGGGGGAUAACAUCCGGAAGCGGGCGCUGAUAUCGCACACGUCCAGAGCGAGCUACUGGGGGAUCUUCGGACAGCACCGGAUCUGAUGAGCCUAGUUGGGGUUAGCUAGCUGGUUGGGUAAAUGGCUACCAAGGCGACGAUCCGUAACUGGUCUGAGUGGAUGAUCGGUCACACUGGAACUGAGACACGGUCCAGACUCCUACGGGAGGCAGCAGUGGGGAACAUUAGGCAAUGGGCGAAAGCCUGAUCCAGCCAUGCCGCGUGUGUGAAGAAGGUCUUCGGAGUGUAAAGCACUGUUAGUUGGGAUGAACGGCUGUGGGUUGAUACGUUGCUGUUUUGACGGUACCGACUGAAUAAGCACCGGCUAACUACGUG